GGGGCCAUAGCUCAGCUGGCUAGAGUGCUUGACUGGCAGUCAAGAGGUCGCGGGUUCGACUCCCGCUGGCUCCA
rnacentral:tRNA from 1 species